UAUAUUCCCAUCCUAUUACCCUCUGUGAGCAGGAUAUGACUCAACACAUAUCCUGAAUUUUUUUUUCGGGCUUUGAUACCAAUUGUAAAACCCUGCUCUGCACACUGGGUUUUAAUUCUCAUCAAACGAUUAACAUAGAUUAUCUCAAAUGAAAGUUCACAUUAUGAAGUACUACAACUACUUUGUGUUCGGGGACCUAACACAAUUCUUAUUACAACCAAAAAAACAAUGACACGACUACUUCGCUUCACCUCCUACGCCGACACCUCGACGAGUCCUUUGUCUCCUACCCCUCCAGUUAAGCAAGGUUGCCUCCAUUCCAUGCACAAGUCAUGUAUCCGUGAGUGACUACAUCACUCAGCAUGUAAAGUAUAGGUUCCAACAAUUACUAACAAUAGCAAUUAACAUAACACAUGUAUAUAUAACAUUCAAUCUAAUGGUACCAAUCAAUCAUCAUUCAUGCCCCUAAUGGGUCAUCACUCGUCAUUCAUCAUUCAUCAUUCAUUAGACGUUAUAACACCCCUGUUAUAUCUCAUUCAUGCUUUCAUUCAUGGAUGAAUCUCAUUUAUACAUGCAUUACUAUUCCUACCCCAUGUCUAUUCAUAUGAGGUUUCCCCGAUCCCAUCAUCAUUUUAAAAUCAGCAACUGAUAAUAGUAAAAUCUCAUAAAAACACCCUUUAAAAUCCCCAAAACAUGCAACCCACCUCCCUAGCAUUUUUGUCAUAACGAAAACAGCCACCUAAAUGUUAUAAAACAUGCCACAUAAUGAGUAUCUUAUAUGAUGAUCUAAAACAGAAAUUAAUUACUUAAAUCAGUUCAAGUAUCGUAGGUUAUCCUGCAAUAAAUAUCACUCACUUUAACAAGUCAUAAAGCACUACCCUCCAAAAUCAAUGAGAUGACAUCUAUUUCAGCACUGAAAAUCAUUAAAUUUACACAAGAAAAUCAAGGAGAAAAUUCUUAGAUCUAACAUCAUACACCUAGGGAUCAUCGGCUCUACAUAAAAACGGAUGAGUUAAUAUUACUAACCUGGAAGCAAUUCGAUUUAAUAUAUAGAAGUCCCAAAACAGUAACUACAUUAACAUAUAAACUGUAUAAUAACACACCAACAUAUUGGUAACUUAUUUUACAUUUAAUAAUAGGGGAAUCUGGAUCGGGAUGAAUCUAAUCAUUUCAGAUCAGAUCUGUUGGUCCAUGAUUAAAGAUCUACACAUCAUUCGUGAUUACAUCAUGACAACAUCAUCCGUUAUCACCAGGAUUAAAUAUGGUUAUUACAUCAAGAUACAGCACAUGAUUAACGACUUAAAAUAUUAGUAAAUGCUAGCAAAAUAUUGACAUUCGUUUCCCCCUCCUCACAUUUCUGUAACAGCAAAUAUGUCCAAAUCAACCAGCAAUAAAUUAAAAUAGUAUGAUUUCUCUUCCAAUAUAUUCAAUCUCAUUCAUCCUUCACCCAAAUCAAUCAGACUUCAUUCCCCCCUUUAGAGUAAUCAUAUAACAUGCUGGCAUCAAUUUAAUAUAAUAGUACUGUGAUUUGUUUAUGUGAAAGUAAACAUUUAAAGAUAACACGUAGAUCAUUUCAGUAAUCAUUUAAAUCUAACAGAAAUCAGUUCAGUAAUCAUUUCAGCAUCAUUUAAAUGUAACACGUAGAUCAGGAAUCCACACAUAGGAUCCCUGUUUAUGUGAAGGUAGGAUUGAGGAUGAACGAGUUCGUCCAGAUCGGAUCCAUUCCGAUUGAACUCGUCCAUCUUCCCUUCACUCAUCUUCUCCCCUUCCCAUUUUCCAUCAUCCCCAUCUUAACUCACACUUUACAUACCUCUUUCGCUGCUUGUCGAGCCUCACACCUUCCACACCACGAUACUGGUGCCCUCUUACAGAUCCAAGCCACAAUGCCCUCCCUUUCUCCUAGAUGCCUCCUUCUUCUCCUUCCGUCUUCCCCUUUUCAAUUUCUGUUUUACCUUUUCGGUUUUUACCCCCUCUUCCCUUCUAUCAUUUCAAUUUAUAUUUUGAUCUUCCCUCAAAUUUCCAUUUUUACCCUUAAUCGGGUUACCCCCAAUUAAUAACCGGUUAUUACAGAUUGAUUCAUUAGAUCGAAAUUUCCCCCGAUUGAUGUGCAUAUUUUGUUCCCUCCAGGCGGCUGAUAGAAUUACUCCAAGCAUGGUCCACUGCAACUCCCAUCACCUAGAUUCGAUGGUUAAUCUAUCAAUUUCUCCGACCAUCAGUUUGAAGGACGCCAGGUUGCCUGGUUUAGUGUCUAUAAGGUUCCCCGUUGCGUUGAGGCCCUCUAUCAGAAGCCAUCGUGUGAAGCCGCAGUUGAAAGACGAGUUAUCAAUGGUCUUCGCUUCGAACUUGCACAGUGGGCAAACGUAUGGCGUCACCAUGCCCUUAUCGACACAUUCUUCCAUCUUACUCUCUAUAAGUGGAGUGAAAUGUGUCGAAUUUCAGUCGCCCAUAUCCCUUUCGGUUUCGUGAAGCAAUCUACUGGGUGCUCUUUCUCAGUAUUUGAAGUGCAUUAGCGGUGGAGGACUUGGAUCUCUUUGCUUUCCAGAUUAGUCUGUCGUUGGGGCCAUGGUCCGCACACUUGGCUAUCAUUUCCCAUUGUGUUAGAGUGGCUCUCCAUCCAGACGAGUCGUUGUAUGAUUGUAUCUAUGCGAAAUUUGUCUAAGGGAAGAAUCAUUAAUGUAAUAUCGACGCAUCCACCGGCUCCAAAUCUCGUUACCCUCCCAAAUUCUGUUGAUGCAGUCGACCACUGAAACAUAUUGAGUGUUUACGAAAUCCCUUACUUCUAGCCUACCUUAAUUUGUCCCUUGACUUUAUCAAAUUGGCCCAAACGACUUCGUGUCGCGCUCCGCAAAUAAACCGAUAAC
rnacentral:lncRNA from 1 species